GGGAGGGGGUGCAGUGACUCCGUGGGAGAACGUCUGCUUGGCAUGCGGAAGGUCCCAGGUUCAAUUCCUGGCACGUCCCACUCA
rnacentral:tRNA from 1 species